rnacentral:pre_miRNA from 1 species
UAUUAAAAAUUUUAUUAGUUUUUUCUGUUAAAUGCUAGCGUGGUUAACGAAAUAAUUAAACAAUUACAUGUGGUGUAUCACGUGUAUCUCAUGUUGACGUAUAAUGACCAGUUUUUAAUAGUAGAGAUUAAUGAAAAUUUUAACA